rnacentral:lncRNA from 1 species
UUUUCUUCCUCUGAAAUUGUCAAAGAAUUUAAAAGAUCAUUACCUUGCUCAAGAUCCUUAUAAAUCCAGUCUGGAAAGUACAUUUCAGAAGUACACGACCCUCCAGUUUGAUAGUUCUUUCUUCCUCCAAUCAUUUCAAGAAUCAACAUACCAUAACUGUAUACAUCAGAUUUGUAAGAAACACCACCAAAUGCUCUGCUAAAUACUUCUGGCGCCAUAUAUCCUAUAGUUCCUCUUGUCCCCGGUAUUGACACAAUACUAUCAUUCAUUUGACAUAUUUUUGCUAGUCCAAAAUCAGAGAUUUUUGGGCAAAAGUUUUCGUCCAAAAGAAUGUUUUGAGGUUUGAUAUCAAGAUGCAGUAUCCUUGAACUACAUCCUUGAUGCAAGUACUCUAAACCUCUAGCAAUGCCGAUAGCAAUUUGGAACAAAGUGUUCGAAUCAAAAUCACAAACAGCGUCAGGAAAUCCACUUUUAUAGAUGAAUUUGUCUAGUGAUCCUUUGGGCAUGAACUCAUAUAUUAGUGCUCUUUUAUUUGCCUCGUAACAAUAACCUAAAAGUGACACAAUGUUCAUGUGUGAUGUUCUACUGAUGCUAGCAACUUCAUUUAUGAACUCUUCCCCAUUUCCUUUUGACUCGUUUAUUACUUUCACUGCCACUUGACGACCAUCCGUUAAACUUGCUUUGUACACAACACCAUAUCCUCCGUGGCCUAAUUUAUCACGGAAUGAGUUUGUGAUCCUUUUUACUUCUGCAUAACUGUAUCUUCUCGCAAUAGAUAAAUUGUAACUUUGCAUGAAAACCUCCACAUUGUUGUCGACAUGUUUUCUUCUUUUCCUGAAAAUAGUCAUUUGCGGUCUACGUAUACCCUUUUUAAAGUAACAACUGAUGAAAAUAAUAAAGAACAUUGUUACUCCAAAUCCAGCAACUGAAGCACCUGAAUUUAUGCAAAACAUAUAAAUAAUUUUUAUCAGUUCUUUUAUAAUACAAUUAACGUACCUGAAAGUGGGAUGAGAAUUGAGAAACACAGAUUAUAGAAAGUGAUAUCGUUUAUUAUACUUACCAAUCACAAUUAACCUCCUGUCCCGUUUUGACCCUACAUUUCAAAAAUCAAAUUAGAUAGAACUUAUACAUUCAUUGUUUAGUAGAGAAAUGCACAUUUAUUCUCUCAUUGCUUUGCAUUUUUUAGCAGCAAAGAAGACAAAUAGCCUCCAAAAAUCUUAUACAUGCCACUAUUGUAGGCUUUGAUGAAGAGCAAAUUUUGGAUGUUUUUGGGGUAAAAGCAAUGUUGAACAACAAAUUCAUGUUGAUUUUGAUAGGGAAAACAGAAAAGAAAGACCGCAGGCUUUGGACAAAUGCACAAUCUAUAGAAACAUAUAACUACUUUGUUCCUCUAACAGAGAAGAAAAACUCUAGUCUUUGGACAAUGCACAACCUGUUGAAACAUAUACUUUGAAUCUAUGUUAUUGUCAUUUCUAAAGUGACACUCAAUCAAUAUAAGUUUUAUUUUCGAUGACUCUUCCAAUUUAUCUAGAACAAGCUCACAUAAGAAUACGUUGAAAAUACACUUACUUUUUAUGAGAUUAGCACAACUAUUUCACUUGACUAUAUUUUCUAAUAAGUGAGGAGUUAGUUAUUUGUGCUUAUUAUCAAAACCAGAGCUAGUAUGACUCAUUUUUAUAUAUGUGUGUCCAAAUCAAUUUUAUUUGAUGUUGUGAUCGAGCAAUUGCUCCCGAUCAUAAGGACCAAAAAAAAAGUCUAAUUACUACUUAACUCUACGCUUAAGCCAUUGAGCAGUGCUAUAUCUCGCUAUACAAAAGAUUCGCGAAAGCCAUGAAAACAUGGGUGUCAAUAUGUAAGAACAAAAUAAAGAAACUUUCAGGAUGAUACCUUUCACUAUACAUUAAGCAAUUUCCUAACACAUUAGGGGAUAAGUUGCAAUAUUACAGCUUAGUUGUAGAAACAAAAAUAUAUAGGAGUUUGAGAAAGUGAUAAUAUUUACAUACUUGAGGAUAAGGGCAAUGGUGAACUGCAUGUAGUGGUAGAAGUUCCAUUCUUACAGAAACAUUUGAAUCCAAUUCCUCCAUCGUUGCCACACACUCCACCGGAAUCAACACACUUCUGACACUCACUAUAAUUUCCCGUCCAUUUCAACUCAAAACCCUUUUCUAAUGCUUGGUUUACAUCAUUAACCGUUGCAAUUUUCGCAGCUUGGGUGUCCAAAAUCGGAAUCUCAACAACACUCCUCGGUAAACUUGUAUUGUAAUUGUAUAACAAAGUUACUUUAGACGAAGUAUUACCAUAACGUUGAAAGAAAGUGUUGUUGAAUGUGCUGUUCUUAUGAUUGUCACUCAAGGCACAUAUAUUACUCCAGUAAUCAUCUCUUGCAACUCUAAGUCUCAGUGUUGCAUUGUUCCAUUCAAGAAUACGAUAUUUCACGAAAUUGAUCGUUAUCUUCGGGACUUUUCCUUCGCAUGUAAGCUUCAUAUUAGGAUCGGAAACACCACAAUAAUUUCCUCUAUUUUCUCCCCAGAAUGGAUAUUCAAGAUUUGUGAUGUUGCUUUCACAGUUAAAAGUUUUGCUACAGUUUGUGUAUUGGUUAUUAUCAACACAAAGACACUUUGGAAUAUUGAUGAUUGAGAUCAUCAAUAUUAUGGAGUAAAAGAAAAUAACAAUGGAAGAAGAAUGAUGAAUCAAAGGUUUCAUUCUUGGGCUAGAACAAAGAAGUAUGUGGUGGAACAAAGUGUGAGUGAUAAGAUUGGUUUUGGUGUGAUAAAAAUAUAGAAUUGACUUAGUCAACUUAAAAUUAAUGAUAGAGUUGAUUCAUUCAACUCUUCACCUUUCACUUUCAACUUUAGUUAAAUGCGUGAUAAUUUCAACACUUUCUUCUCUGAUUUUUCUACGAAACCGAAUAGAAACUUCAAUGUAGUAUUGAAGUCAAUGAUGAUGUUAACUCUCUUCACAUUGUCAUGUGUUACAUUUAAUUGUUACAAUCUAGUAAUUGAAGAAACAAAAAUAAAAGAAAUUGAUUAACUCUUUUUACCCCAUAAAGGAAGGAAAAGACUAACGGGUGCUUCAGUACCGGUGGUUCGAUGCUGGUUAAAGAUACUAAAAAACAAAAUUAUAUAAUAGUUAUAUGGUAGGGACAAUGCAUAAUAUAUAUAUAUAAGAUUUAAAGUUUAAAAAAAAAAAACAAGCUAACACCUCAAAUGUACCUUAUCAAAUAAUUAUUCAUCAUUAUCAUCAAAUUAAAGUAGACAAUAUUGACUUCAAAAUAAUAUACAAAUAAUAAUUAGAAUAUAUUUGUCUCUUUCUUUACCUUUGUGGUCCUUUAGUUACGUUUGUAGGCCUUAAGGCCUCCACGUUAGCUUAUUUGUGUGGUUUUGAUUGGUGUGGUUUUGGUCUUAGCUUUGUGUUUUGGUGGAAGUAUGCAAUCUUUCUUAGAAAGUGGUCAACUCUUUUUCACGUAGUUGAGUCCGGACUUCUUAAGAUAUGUGUUUGUUUUAAGUUUACCAAAUUUAUUUUUGGGAAUAACAUUUCUUGGAAUAUAAAGAUAGGAAUUUUAUUUCAAGGUAUUUAAAAAAAAGAUGUUUGUUUAACAUUAUAAUAUACCUGGGAAUCAUAAAAAUAGGAUUUAUAAUAGACAAUUACUCAUGGAUUUAAAAAAUUUCUAUUCCAGGAACGUUUUAUACCUUGUAAUAAAAUUUAGUAAACUUGUAACAAAUAUAAGCAUUUGUAUUUCUAUCGUUUUAUUUUCAGGAAUCUAUGAAUAUAACUUGAAACAAACGCAUGGUAACCGAAAGAGUUGACCAAAUAAAUGUAAAAGAGUUGACCACUCAUAAUUUGCUUAUAGUAUCCUUUAAAAAAAACAAAUGUAAAGAAUAAUAAUUAUACUACACCGAAAAUUGGAUAAAAUAAAACUUCUUUUAGGGAUUCUUCUAAAAAAAAAAGCUUAUUUUCGUGUAAUUUUCCAAAUGUGACACUCAUAAUUAAUGAAAUAGAGAGUAAAUAAUAUAAUUCUUUUGGUACAAAAAGAGCAAAUAUGGGGCAUUUCGCCGGUUUAAGAGAUAUGAUGUUGGAAAUUCAAGGGUAAUUAUAUUGGAAAAUUGGUACAACACAACUGUCAAUUUGUGGUUAAACAAAUGACUCCAAAAUUGUAUAGCUAAUGUGCCGCCCGGAUCUUGUGCUCUACUAUUUCCAUCGUAGGUGGAGCCAGGAUUAUUUUUUUUUAAACAAGUUUUUUUUUUUUUUUUAAACCAGUUAUGGUAGAAUAUAUUAUAUCAUUAAAGAUGAUUCAUCUCGUAUAGGGUGUGCAAAAGAGAACCAUCCAUAAAAAAAAUACAGCUAAAUGUCUGUGCCAUAAGUGGGCACUCCUGAAUAAAAACAAAGCAACACAAGGCUAAAAUAAAACACCCAUACAAGGUAAAUGGUGCCGCCACCGGUCGUGGUAACUAAAAGCAUAAGUAGGCUUGUUUGCCUUUAACCAAGAAAAAGACAACAAUUUAAUAUUAUCUACUAAAUAAUCCAAAGUAUCAAUCUUCUGGUUAAAAAUCAUGUUCUUUCUUUCCUUCCAGAUAACCCAGACAGUAGCCAUUCAGAUUACCGUUAGAAAAGAGUGAAUAGCUCGCGGAAACCCCGCCGAAUGAAAAAACUGAUGAAGAUGAUCGGAGAUAGACACUGGAGCAAUAAAAGAAAUGUCUAGCCACACCACUCCAAAAUGAGGACAAUGAAAUGGGAGAUGAUCCACUGUCUCGGGAGAAUCACAACCAGCAAUGCAAGAUAUGUCGUCGAGAGGAAUGAUGCGCCGACGGAAGAGGUUAUCUUUAGUUGGCAUUCGAUUGCGGAGAAGUCGCCAAACAAAGAUAGAAACCUUAAGCAGAGCUUCCUUCACCCACACAUCGUCAAACCGACCACGUUCGGAAGGCACACCUGGCGUCGUGAGAUAAGCAUAAGUACCCUUCACGGAGUAGCCAUGUAAAGGAUCCAGCAUCGACCGCCACCUGUCAAUAGUACGGUCUUGCAAAACAACAUUAUGCAACAGAGAUGCACACUAAUAUCAGGGGAAUCGAAUACAAAGAAUAUAAUUUGAUUAAAACAAUAACUGUUUAAAUAUAAAAGGUAUAUAUGAAAUCCUAAACUAAUAUUUUUUUGUUUGUUAAAGAAAUUUAUAACUAUAUUUAGUAUGAGAGACAUUAAUCAAUAAAUAUAUUUAAGAUACAAAAAAAUAGGAGUGCAUAUGUUCUAGGGUUAAAUAUGUUUUUAGAUCUUACAAAAUCAUACACUUAAAAUGUAAUAGGGACUAAACUUAAAAUCUCAUAAUUUUGUAAAAACUAAAAACAUAUUUAACCAUAUAUUGUGUACGCAACUUUGAAAUUUAUUUCAAAAAGAGAAUUUGGAAAUGAAAAGUGUAUUUCUAAGGACACACAAAAAUGACAAUCGACUAACCAAACAAAUGAGCUCAAGUGGUUAACGAGUUCCACCAAAGGAUAAAUUAUUCAGGAGAACCUGAGUUUGAUUCUUGAUUGGAACAAAUUUUAUCUAAUCUUUAUUUACUUCCUAAUCAAACACUAGAUUACCAUGACCCAUUUACCAUGAGAACUGGAGGAUUAACACAAAAAAAUAAAUGAGAUAUAUCAUUAUGAUUAAUUUUAUUUAAAAUGUGUUGUAUAAAUGACCGUAUUGAUAUAUUUGACGAAAUAUGACAUAAUUUAAAAUAAUAUGAAAUAUAAAAUUAAUGAUGCUUGUUGCCAACUAAUCUAGUAACAUGGUAAAAAAAUAAACAUUUUGCUGGCAAAAAAAAUAAACAUUUUAAUUAGAUUAAUUGGGGAGACCAAGGCCUAAUUGUACUUAAUGAAACAUUUUCAAUAUUUUUUUUGAUGAAACAUUUUAAUGUACUUUAGUUGUAGCGGCGUAUAAACAAAAAUAUUGAAAAUGUGGGGGGAUCACGGCCUCUAUUAGGGCCCCCAAUACCUCAGCCACUAUAGCUGACUAUAUCAUAGAUGGAAAUUGGUAUUUUUCUAUUAUUAUGUAGAAAAAAUUUCGUCACACGUGUGAACUCACCAAGAACAUGAUUAUUUCAACUUUGUUCAAUUCCAGACACUAGAGUUUGAGAUCACUCCAAAUCUAAAAUUCUGAUAUUAAAGAUAUUUAGCAGAUAAGGCCUCUUAAUUAGAGUUUCUUGGGGCAAAUUCGUUUCUAAACAAUUUGACAUGCAGUGCGGAAUGGACAUUGAUUUAGAUAUACCCACGGAAAUUUACAGUGGUAUUGGGUUGUUGGUAAAAUCUCAAAUACUUCAUCCGUCUCAAAAUAUAAGCAAAUUUUAUUUUGUAGGUUCAUUUAAUUAAUGAUGUAUGUAGUUCAUAGUAUUGAUUAUAUACCUCAUUAAUUGAAGACUAUUAUUUUUCCCAUCCUAUGGCCUUCUCGCACGCCCUAUGUAAAUUAUGAAAAUGUCUUUUGGAUUAUAAAAUCUGGAACAUGAAUGCAUGUUCUGGAAUAUAAAAUCCGGACAACUGCGAAGUAUAAAAGGAACUUCACCCUCCAUUUUUACAGUUUCACUUUCACCAUUCACUCUCUUUCUCUCUCUACAUUAUCCCAAAAUCCGAACAUCACAAAUCUUGUCCAAAUUUGAAGUUUUGUAGCUCAAAAGCACCGCAUUUCAACCCUUGUCAAACAUCAUGGAAGGUAAGUUCGAUUUCUGUACAUUUGCAUGGUUAAUUUGAUAGUUAUUUUUUUUGGAAUUCUGGUUGGAUGCAAUCCGGAUUUGUUUUUCCGGACUAGAUUGUUAAUGUUCGGAGUUCGAAAUUCGGACAAACCCAGAACGGUUUUUUGCUUCUGUUUUGUGCUGUUUGAUUGUGUUGUUUGAUUGUGAUGUUUGAUUACCCUAAUUUGAAUGUUACAGAAGGUUCAACAUCUAAUACUCAGCGCGUAAGGGAUGCAGGGCAUGCUUCCCAUAGGAGAGCGCGUAGGCAACAGCUGGAGGAUGAAGGCGGUGUUCCUCCGAGGCGCUGGGGUGCUAGAGGACGUCGUGCUGAUGUCGAGCCUGAUGUCGAGCAUCAGCCGGAGAAGCAAGAGUAUAUGGAUUUGCAGCAAAAGCAGCCUGAAUGUAUAAAAAAAAUCGACACUUAUUCGAAAUGUUACGAAACUUUGCACAUCAUCUAUAUGUAUUUUUAUAGAGGUGUCUAUAAAGUUUCGUAGCAUUUCGACUAAGUCUCGAUUUAUUUUUAUUUUUCGACCGAACCGUGCAAAAUCACAAUUUUUUCAAGUGUGAGUCCGAAAAAGUGUCCUAGAGGUUAAACUUCUUCACGCUUUUUUGCACUCAUGUUUAGAACAAAAAAAUAACAUCUCCCACAAAAAAUUUGAAUUUUUUGACAAGGAACGGAUUAAAUAUGAAUUUUUAACGCGUCUAAAAUUAAAGACACGGAAACAUCAAAACAUCAACCUAAAAAUUGAAUUUUGAGCUGUUUUUUUUGCAGACACCUGUAUAAAAAUACAUAUAAAGGAUCUUCAAAUUUUCUUAGUAUUUCGAGUUAUCCUCAAUUUAUUUUGAAUUUUUUACUGAAACGCGUAAAAUUGCAAUAUUUUUUCAACUGCGCAUCCAGAAAAGUUAUAUAGAGGUUGAAUUUUUUUCAUUAUUUUUUGUUCACAUAUUAAGAACAUAGAAAAAACAUUUCCUGCAAAAAAUUAGAAUUUUUCGACAACGGAUGGAUUAAAUAUGAAUUUUUAAUGCGUCAAUAAUUCAAGAAACCAAAACAUCAAUACGUCGACCUAGAAAUUGAAUUUUGAUAUGGUUUUUUUUGCAGAAAACUCUAAAAAAACAUAUAUAGAGGGUCUGUAAAGUUUUGUAGAAUUCUGAAUAAGUUUCGAUUUAUUUUUGUUUUUUCGACUGAAACGCGUAAAAUCACAAUAAAAAGCAGCAAAGCUAGCGGCAGUUAACUGUCGGCGCAUAUGCCAGAGGCAGUUAACUACCGCUGGGGGUAAUUUGAUCAUUUACUUGUGUCAAUAGAAAAUAUUCAAUAUCAAAAAAGCAAUUCUCAUCAAACUUAGGAACCAAAACAGCAUUUAAACUUUAAAUAUAGAGUAGUAUUAUUUGAACAACUCUUUUAAACUCUUUUAGUACAACUUUUGUAUUAAAUAUGAAUUAAGCGUAAUUAAGAUAUGAGCAAUGCUAUUUGGCUCGACAACUUUUUCGUGGGAUACACGCAAAUCUAUUAUUAGCCAAUCAGAUAAUGCUAACUAUAAAAAGUCAAAGUGCUGGCCGGAAAUCAUGGUGCAUGUGGAAUAAACCAACAGUGAUGAUGCAUUCGGCCAUUCUCGUCUCUUACCGCAAAGCAUUUUUCUUAAGAUAUUUAUAGGCAAUUUCUAUGGUACACUCGAUAAUUUUGAGUGUACCGAUACACCCGUGUAUUUAAAUGAAUAGUUUAAUGAUUUAUUAUAAUAAUUAUAUUAUAUUUUUCAAAAGUGUCGGCAAAGCAAAAUUCAAAUUUUUUUAAUUUUUAUUACUCAUAAUAGUGAAUAUUGAUUAUUUUUUUCAAUAAAAUGUUAAAAAAUUUAGUAUAAUUCUUUAUAAAAAAUAAAAUGAUGUUUUUUCUUAUGGGAUAAUAUUUUCUAAAAAAUUAUCUUUAACUUAUAGAUUUAUAAAAUAGUGUACUGGUACACCUUAAUUGAAGGGUGUACCGUAGAAACUCAUAUUAUUAUAUGAUUAUUUAAUGUAUUAGUUCUUCAAAAACAAUUUCAAUAUCAAUAUAUAUACUUAACUCUCCCAAACUCUUCUCUCUAAACACGUUGAAACUCCAAAAUACCUUGCGAGUUUAAUCAAAAGUUUAGAGCAACCAUAAUUGCAUCUGCACAUAAAAACACUGAAAAAAAAUGAGUAUUAGAAGAAAUUAACCAUAAAAUAUUCUCUUCAAUUUUUUUUUAAAGAUUUUAGUCUUUGGUGUUUAGAGAGCGUGGGUUCAAAUAUUUUCCAUGCAUGAUUUGGUGUUUUAAGUUUACGGUUCAAAUAUCAGGAACAUGUUUGCAUCGUAGGCUGCAAUUUUUUCAAAAAACUGAGUUUCAAGGUGUUUUCUGCAGAUUUAUCUUUGAAUUAAGGAAGCUUUAAAUCAAAUGAUACAUUUCCAAUUGGUGCAAGUUUCAAUGCUCAUGAAACACUAUCACAAGUGCAUGUUUAGACAAGUAUGGUGCAUGACUUGAAUUCACAACAGAAAUAAUAAGAUUGAUAUAUAAAAAAUAAAAACAGUAAGUGGCCAGUUUAGAGUCAAUAAUUAAGCCACUACGAUCCCUAUAAUUUGUACAAAAUGGACUUUCAAGUUCAACAAAUUAAUUCCAUAUUUGUAUGCCAGAAAUAGUUACACAAGUUAAUUAGUCCAUUUGAUUUAUUGAAAGAACAAUUAUUUUGAUUCUGUUAUUGAUAUUGUCUCAUACAGAUCAGAUGAAGACAUGUCUGACACUUGUAAUUGUGGCCUUUCAGGUGAAUAUAAGACGGGCUUUGGAGGAUAUGAUAUUGUUGAAAGUGGUCCUUGCAACAUUUCUAUUACUUUAUUCAUCGGUGGUCUAUCUGAUAGUUUAGUUUGAAUGCGCCACAGACUCACCAAAGUAAUCUUUCUGACCAUAUCAUUUUCUUCCUCCGAGACUGUCGAACAAUUUAAAAGAGUAUUACCUUGCUCAAGAUCCUUAUAAAUCCAAUCUGGAAAGUACAUUUCAGAAGUACAUGACCCGCCAGUGUCGUAGUUCUUCCUUCCUCCGAUCAUUUCAAGAAUCAACAUGCCAUAACUAUAUACAUCAGAUUUGUAAGAAACUCCACCAAAUGAUCUAUUAAAUGCUUCUGGUGCCAUAUAUCCUAUUGUUCCUCUUGCCCCUAAUAUUGACACAAUACUAUCCUUCUUUUGGCAUAUUUUCGCUAGUCCAAAAUCAGAGAUUUUUGGGCAAAAAUCAUCAUCCAAAAGAAUGUUUUGAGGUUUUAUAUCAAGAUGCAGAAUCCUUGAACUGCAUCCUUGGUGCAAGUACUCUAGACCUCUAGCAAUGCCAAUUGCUAUUUGGAACAAAGUGUUCCAAUCAAAAUCACAAAUAGCGUUAGGAAAUUCACUUUUAUAGAUGAACUUAUCCAAUGAUCCAUUGGGCAUGAAUUCAUAUAUUAGUGCUCUUUUGUCCACCUCAUAACAAAAGCCUAAAAGGGACACAAUGUUCAUGUGUGAUGUUCGACUAAUGCUAGCAACUUCAUUUAUGAAUUCUUCUCCAUUUCCUUUGGAUUCAUUUAUUACUUUCACCGCCACUUGACGACCAUCAAUUAAACUUGCUUUGUAAACAACACCAUAUCCUCCUUGGCCUAAUUUAACUCGGAAAGAGUUUGUUAUCCUUUUUAUUUCUUUAUAACUAUAUCUUCUUGGCAUAGAUGAAUUAUAACUUUGCAUGAAAACUUCUACAUUGUGGUCAACAACUUUUCUUCUUUUCCUGAAAAUACUCAUAUUCGGUCUCCCAUUACCCUUAUUAAAGUAACAACUGAUCAUAAUAAUAAUUGUUACUCCAAAUCCAGCAACAAUAGCACCUGAAUUUAUGCAAAGGAACAUAUAAAUAGUUUUCAUCAAAUUGUAUCUAGAAAAGAAAUUAAUAGUACCUCUCAAUGUGGGAUGAGAAACACUUAUCAUAGAAAGUGAUAUUGUUGGUCCUUCUUACCUAUCACAGUACGACUCCUGUUUCGUUCUGUACCUACAAUUCAAAAAUCAAAUUAGAUAGAACUUAUUAUAAUUAAUAAUCAUGCUCAUGCAUUGUCUCUAAGAGAAAUGGUCAUUUAUUUUCUCAUGUGUAGUUUGUAGCAGUAAUGAGGAGAAAUGGCCUCAUGAAAAUUUUCUGUGUACUCCUAUUUAGGCUUUGAUGAAUAACAAUUUUGAAAUUUUUGCUGGGAGAAAAACAAUUUUGAACAACACACUCAUGUUGAUUUUGAUGGGGGAAAACGGAGAAAAAAGACUGCAGCCGUUGGAAAAAUGCACAACCUAUAGCUAACAUAUGAUUCAGCGUAUCAUGCAAAUUAAUUUAGGAGGUAAGUUGCAAUUUACAACUUAGUUAGAAACAAACAUUUAUAGGAGUUUGAGAAAGUACAGUAUACAUACUAUUGUUCGAGGUUAAGACCUUUUGUGAAGCACAUGAAGUUGUAUGCGAUCCAUCUUUGCAGAAACAUCUAAAUUCAUUUCCUCCAUCAUUGCUGCCACACACACCAUCAGAAUCAACGCACUUUUGACACUCUCCAUAAUUUCCCGUCCAUUUCAAAUCAAAACCGCCUUGUAAUGCUUUGUUUAUAUCAUUGAGCGUUGCAAUUUGUCUGACUUGGACUGCCAAAAUUGGAAACUCAACAAUAACACUCGGAGUACAUGUGAGUGAGGCGGAAGCAGGAUCCACAAUUGUGUAGGAAACUUUAGUAUUACCACAGGUAGUACUAAAAAUAUUUGUUAUACUUGUUUCACAAUUGUAUAACAGACUUACAUUAUACGAAACAUCACCAUCACGUUGAAACAUAGUGUUAUCGAAUGUGCUGUUCUUAGGAUUGCUACUCACAUUCACAGCACAAAUACCACUCCAGCAAUCUUCUCUGGCGACUGUGAGUUUUUGUAUUGUAUCGUUCCAAUCAAGAAUGCGGUAUUUGACGUCGUUGAUAUUUAUCUUUGGAACACUUUCUUCGCAUGUAAGAUCCAUAUUAGGAUCGGAAGAAACACCACCACAAUAUUUAUCUCUAUUUUCUCCCCAGAAUGGAUACUUGAUGUUCGCGAUGCUGCUUCCGCAGUUAAAAGCAUUGUUGCAGUUUGUGUAUUGGUCAUCAUAAUCGCACAAACAAGUUGGGAUAUUGAUGAUUGAGAUUAUCAAAAGGGUGAAGGAGAAAAAGGAAAUAAUAAUGGAAGAAGAUGGAUGAUGAAGCAUAGGUUUCAUUCUUUCUUGCACUAGACCAAAGAAGUAAUAGUGGACCAAAUGUAAUUAAUAAGAUAAGAUUGGUUUGGGUUAGAUAAACUUAACAUCUUGAUUUAGUCAGCUUAAAAUUAAUAAUUAUAGUGAGAGUUGAUUCAACUCUACUUUCACGUUUCAAUGUAUCUGAACUUUCACACUUUGUGAAGUUUCUAGGAAACUACAAUGUAGAAUUCAAUGCAUUAAUUUAGUGUUGUAGUCAAGAAUGAUGAUGCUUAACUCUAUUCGUCUUUUAUAAUAGGAAUCUCUAACAAAAACCACAAGUGUUAAUAUUUUUUUUUUUUAAAAAAACAUCGAAGUGAUAUGCAUAAUUAAUUUAAUAUAUUACUACGUAAAUUUUGUUAUUUCUCUACCCACUUAUACCCAUUUUUUCACCACCUCCAGAUUGUGUUAACAUUUUAUAACAGAUUGUUGUCAGCAUUAACUAUAGUCACCGUAUAAAUUUGAAAUUUGGCCUGUUACAUCUGCACAUGAAAGAAAAGAAAAACGAGAAUUACAAGAAAUUACGCAACAGGUGGCCAUCUUACGUUCACCUCUAUUUUUUGUGAUUUUAGUGGUUGGUGAUAUUACGCAACCGGUGGCCAUCUUACGCAACAGGUUUAAAUAUUUUCCAUACAUGAUUUGGUGUUUUAUGUUUAUGGUGUUACAGGUUUGCAUCGCAGGCUGCCACUGUUUCAAAAAUCUGAGUUUCACAGUGUGUUUUGCAGAUCAUCUUUGAGUUCAAGAAGCGUUAAAUCAAAAGAUACAUUUACAAUUGAUUCCUUCUGUAUGAGAUAAAUUAGAAGUGAAAAGCAUCAUAAGUGCAAGCUUCAAUGCUCAUGAAACACUAUCAUAAGUGGAAAGUUUAGGAAAGUAUGGUGCAUGACUUGAAUUCACAACAGAAAUAAUAAGAUUGAUAUAUAAAGAAACAAAAACAGUAAGUGGCCAGUUUAGUACCAAUAAUUUAGCCACUAAAAUCACUAUAAUUUGUACAAAAAUGGAUUUUGAAGUUCAACAAAUUAAUUGAUCCAUUUGAUUUAUAGAUAGAACAGUUAUUUUGACACUGUAACUGAAUUUGUCUCAUAUAAAUCAGAUGAAGACAUAUAUGACAAUUGUAGUGGUGGCCUUUCCGGAGAAAAUAAGACCGGCUUUGGAGGAUAUGACACUGAUGACAGCGGUCCUUGCAACAUUUCUAUUACUUUAUUCAUUGGUGGUCUAUCUGAUGGAUUCGUUUGAAUGCACCAUAGACUCACCAUAGUAAUCUUUCUAACCAUAUCAUUUUCUUCCGUUGAGAUUGUCAACCCAUUUAAAACAGUAUGGUUACCUUGCUCAAGAUCCUUAUAAAUCCAGUCUGGAAAGUACAUUUCAGAAGUACAUGACCCGCCAGUGUCGUAGUUCUUCCUUCCUCCAAUCAUUUCAAGAAUCAACAUGCCAUAACUAUAUACAUCAGAUUUGUAAGAAACACCACCAAAUGCUCUACUAAAUACUUCUGGCGCCAUAUAUCCUAUAGUUCC